rnacentral:rRNA from 1 species
UGGGGAAUAUUGGACAAUGGGCGAAAGCCUGAUCCAGCCAUGCCGCGUGUGUGAAGAAGGUCUUCGGAUUGUAAAGCACUUUAAGUUGGGAGGAAGGGCAGUAAGCGAAUACCUUGCUGUUUUGACGUUACCGACAGAAUAAGCACCGGCUAACUCUGUGCCAGCAGCCGCGGUAAUACAGAGGGUGCAAGCGUUAAUCGGAAUUACUGGGCGUAAAGCGCGCGUAGGUGGUUCGUUAAGUUGAAUGUGAAAGCCCCGGGCUCAUCCUGGGAACUGCAUCCAAAACUGGCGAGCUAGAGUAGGGCAGAGGGUGGUGGAAUUUCCUGUGUAGCGGUGAAAUGCGUAGAUAUAGGAAGGAACACCAGUGGCGAAGGCGACCACCUGGGCUCAUACUGACACUGAGGUGCGAAAGCGUGGGGAGCAAACAGG